GUCCUUGUAGCUUAACUGGAUAGAGCAGUGGCUUCCGGAGCCAAAGAUUGAGGGUUCGACCCCCUCCAAGGGCG
rnacentral:tRNA from 2 species